ACACUUCUGAGGAGUUCAACAACAGAACGAAACGGCCGUCCAGUGC
rfam:Schistosoma rodhaini strain Burundi genome assembly, scaffold: SROB_scaffold0001008